rnacentral:rRNA from 1 species
CUUACACAUGCAAGUCGAACGCAACCUUCGGGUUGAGUGGCGGACGGGUGAGUAACGCGUGAGAAUCUGCCUUGGGGUCGGGGACAACCACUGGAAACGGUGGCUAAUACCGGAUAAGCCUUUGGGUAAAANUUUAUUGCCCCAAGAGGAGCUCGCGUCUGAUUAGCUAGUUGGUGAGGUAAAAGCUCACCAAGGCAGCGAUCAGUAGCUGGUCUGAGAGGACGAUCAGCCACACUGGGACUGAGACACGGCCCAGACUCCUACGGGAGGCAGCAGUGGGGAAUUUUCCGCAAUGGGCGAAAGCCUGACGGAGCAAGACCGCGUGAGGGAGGAAGGCUCUUGGGUUGUAAACCUCUUUUCUCAGGGAAGAAGCUCUGACGGUACCUGAGGAAUCAGCCUCGGCUAACUCCGUGCCAGCAGCCGCGGUAAUACGGAGGAGGCAAGCGUUAUCCGGAAUUAUAGGGCGUAAAGCGUCCGCAGGUGGCGAUUCAAGUCUGCUGUCAAAGCACGGGGCUUAACUCCGUUAACGCAGUGGACACUGAAUAGCUAGAGUGCCGUAGGGGUAGAGGGAAUUCCCGGUGUAGCGGUGAAAUGCGUAGAGAUCGGGAAGAACAUCGG